GGUACACGCUGUGACUAGCAUAUCAAUAAGCGGAGGAAAAGAAACUAACAAGGAUUCCCUCAGUAACGGCGAGUGAAGCGGGAAGAGCUCAAAUUUGAAAUCUUGAAAGGUCACCUUUCACGAAUUGUAGUCUAAAGAAGUGUUUUCUGUUACGAUCGUAAUAUAAGUUCUUUGGAAUAGGACAUCACAGAGGGUGAGAAUCCCGUCUAUGAUCGCGAUUUGUAGCUUUGUGAUACACUUUCAAAGAGUCGGGUUGUUUGGGAAUGCAGCCCAAAACGGGAGGUAAAUUUCUUCUAAGGCUAAAUAUUGGCGAGAGACCGAUAGCGAACAAGUACCGUGAGGGAAAGAUGAAAAGAACUUUGAAAAGAGAGUUAAAUAGUACGUGAAAUUGUCAAAAGGGAAGCGUUUAACACCAGUGUUGUUUUCUGAAAAUCAACCUCUGUUAGCUUUAUGCAUGUUUGUUUAGACCUAAUCAGCUAUCUUUCAUGUUCUAUUGUUUGCAGUGGUGCACUUUUCAGUUUACAGGUCAACAUCAGUUUUUUUUACCGUAAAAAAGUUAAAGAAAGGUAGCUCAUGGCUCCGGUCGUGAGUGUUAUAGUCUUUUUCCUAUGCGGUAGGAGAGACUGAGGUCUGCAGUGUAGGCUAUUUGGCUAGAUACUCAGGUGCUAUGUGAUACCAUUUCAUAAACAACUUGUUGAUUAUGUUUUGUCUAUUGCAUACUCGCUUGUACUAUCAUACCUACGCUUAGGAUGUUGAGUAGCGACAUACGCAC
rnacentral:rRNA from 1 species